GGGUAGGUAGUCUAGCUUGGUAUGAUUCCUGGUUUGGGUCCAGGUGGUCACCGGUUCGAAUCCGGUCCUGCCCACCA
rnacentral:tRNA from 1 species